rnacentral:misc_RNA from 1 species
GUGCAUCUACUCGCUGGACCUUUAUUGCGCUUUCUUCUUACUUCUUUUUUACAUAUUUGAUUUUUAUGGAUUUAUUAAUAUAACCCUAUAUCUUUACCUUGUGUUUGCUAAAACCAAAUGAUGGUUAGCAUCAUCAGAACAACAAAAGGCUUGGGAUCAUCAUCUGAAGAAAGAGA